AUCCAGCUGACGAGUCCCAAAUAGGACGAAACGUGCGUCGAAAUUGGAU
rfam:Schistosoma mansoni strain Puerto Rico chromosome 1, complete genome